rnacentral:lncRNA from 1 species
AAAAGUUGAAUUAUUAAUUGGGAGAGAAAUUGAGAGGAAUAUGAGGGACCUACUUCUUCAAGUGCUUGAUCGUUCACAGUCACCCAUGGCACAAAUCUAUGCGGUGGCUUUAGAGAAUCUGUUUCCUCAGCAUAUUUCAGUGUAAGCUGCAUGUCAAUUUGCAGUUUCCAAUUUCAGAGCUUGAUAUACAAGGGGAAAACACAUAAUUUGUGUUGAAAUAACAUUCAUAAAAUGAUACAGAAAAAUACUGAACCUUAUGAAAAUUAAAAAUAGUAGCCACUAAAGAAUUGUUCUCUUCGGAUGAAACUAACCUUAGUUCCUUCACCACUUUGAUAGCAAUUGUCAAUUGGUUGCUGACUGAAUCCCAGAUCAUUGCAACAUUUUCUCCAUGCUGCUUCUGGUUGUUCGCUCGCAGAGGCUUGACCUUCUAUGCACUGGAUAAGUUUGAAAUGUAUUCUCUGCAUCAUGAUUUAUAAAUGUGAAGAUCAAGCAAUUGCUUAGAGUGCCAAUAUGAUUAAGCUUAAGGUACCAUCCUCUGCUAACAAAGUUACUGAUGUGAAAGAAGACUAAUAAAUUGCAGGUCUUACGACAUCAGGCCAGGCGUUAAUGGCACAGGCAUGUAUGGUAUUCAAGUAGCAUUCAUUUUGGCCAUGCUGCAAAAGAAUACACAAGAUUGAAUAAGAGAAAUAU